rnacentral:piRNA from 1 species
GAAUUCUUACAAGAGUUUGUCUAUGC